CUUGUGGGAGCGGAGCGGAGCGGAGCAUGCGCAGUGCGCCGGGGCGGCCGGGGCUGCGGCGAGGCCUAGUGCAAACGCCGAGCGCCAGAGGCGCGGAUCCGCCCCGCGCGCGCAGGGUGGACAGGAUGAGGAGCCGUAAGAAGCAUUUACAUAGGCGCUAGGAGCGGGGGCGCCCCAGAAGACAUGUCGUACCGAGGCAGCGAGCGGGACUUCCAGACUUCAGCCAGGAGGAUGGGAACCUCGUUGCUCUUCCAGCUCUCUGUCCAUGAGAGAGAGCUGGACCUGGUCUUCCUGGACCACAGCUAUGCCAAGCCAUGGAGUGCCCACCCCGAUGCUAGCAGUGCCCGGCCUACUCGGAUGCUCUUUGUCACCCCCAGGAGGCACCAAGACAGCACCAUUGAGGUGGAUGUCCCCAUCGAUGUGGAGACUGUCACACCCACGCCUGUCCCCCUCUACGACAACCAGAAAGCGCGCAGUGUGAUGAACGAGUGUGAGCGCCACGUCAUCUUUGCCCGUACGGAUGCCGAUGCCCCUCCUCCGCCCGAUGACUGGGAGGAACACAUGAACAGGUCGGGUUGGACGAUGGCCCAGAACAAGCUAUUUAAUAAAAUCCUUAAAGCCCUGCAGUCUGACAGGCUGGCCCGCUUGGCCAAUGAAGGGGCUUGCAAUGAGCCAGUGCUGAGGAGGAUAGCAGUGGACAAGUGCGCCCGGCGGGUCCGCCAAGCUCUGGCCAGUGUGAACUGGGACACCAAGCUGAUCCAGUGGCUUCACACCACGCUGGUGGAGACUCUCAGUUUACCUAUGUUGGCUGCUUACCUGGAUGCUCUGCAGACACUUAAGGGAAAGAUCCCCACCCUGAUUGACAGGAUGCUGCUCUCGUCCACCACAAAGACAGGGGCAGCAGGGGCUGAGGCUCUCUCCCUCCUCCUGAAGAGACCAUGGGACCCAGCUGUGGGUGUCUUGUCACAUAAUAAACCUAGCAAGUUGCCUGGUUCUCCUCUCAUCCUGAUUGCGUCUUCUGGACCCUCCAGUUCUAUGUUCCCCACCUCUCGCCGGCACCGGUUCUGGCAGUCGCAGCUCUCCUGCCUGGGAAAGGUGAUCCCUGUUGCCACCCACCUGCUGAAUAAUGGUAGCGGGGUGGGAGUGUUGCAGUGUCUUGAACACAUGAUUGGUGCAGUCAGAGGCAAAGUGCUGGAGAUUCACAACCAUUUCACCCACAAACCGAUCAUCCUGAUUGGAUGGAACACAGGAGCCUUGGUGGCCUGUCACGUCUCAGUGGUGGAGUACGUCACCGCAGUUGUGUGCCUUGGAUUCCCUCUGCUCACAGUGGAUGGGCCCAGAGGGGAUGUGGAUGACCCCCUGCUGGACAUGAAGACGCCAGUUCUCUUUGUGGUUGGUCAGAAUUCUUUGCAGUGCAACGCUGAAGCUAUGGAAGAUUUCCGAGAGAAAAUCCGAGCUGAUAACAGCCUGGUGGUGGUGGGAGGAGCUGAUGACAAUCUGAGGAUAAGCAAAGCCAAAAAGAAGGCGGAAGGCCUGACCCAGAGCAUGGUGGACAGAUGCAUCCAGGAUGAAAUAGCUGACUUCCUGACCGGAGUCCUCACCCGCGCGGACAGCCAUUCAGGCUCCGACCCCAGGGACCUCGAUGCCGAGAAAAAGAAGAAACCACGUGACUUGACCAGGAGGGACCUGUCGUUCGACUUGCCAGAAAGAACCAGCAGUCCCACCUCCCCGGCAGCCAAGGUGCCGGCCUCACCUUCUGGCUCAGAGGAUCUGUCCAGUGUCUCCAGUAGCCCCACCUCGAGUCCCAAAACCAAAAUGGCUGCUGUAUCAUCUGUCCAGAAGUCCAGCCAGAUGGGUGCCACCCAGCUGCUGAAGAGACAUGUGCAGAGAACAGACGGGGUCCUGACACACAAGCAGGCACAAGCUCAGUUUGCUGCUUUUCUGAAACAAAACAUGCUGGUGAGGAAAGCUCUUCCUCCUGGCACCUCUUCAUGUCUCUUUGUUCCAGUCUCCUCAGAGCAGCCAGAAGCGACUGAGAAAGAAGAUGUGCGAAUGCAGCUGAAGAGACAUCAAACCCCCAGCCCGACCCAUUGCAGCAAAUCCUCCAAGCGAGCCAAAAUCAAGGUGACCAUUGUCUCCCACGGGGAAGCUGCUGGCACGGGGAAUGGAGCACCCCUCGUUGCACAGCCAGAAAGUGUGCCAGGAAAGCCUCCCACCAUGACCGUAGGCCAGUCUGGGUCAGGCGUAAAGGAGUUCUCGGGACUACUUACCACCACCAAGCUGAAUUCUGCAGCGGAAACCCCCACCCUCAGCUCUACCCCCUCGGCCAUGAUCCCUAGCAGCACAGCUCCCAGCGCCUUCCAUUCCUUGCAGAGCAGGCUGGUGGCCAGCAGUGCCCACUGCAGGCAGGCCCAGCCUAGCAACGCGCUCCAAGGAGCAGCGUCUGCUAGCAGCCUCCUGCAGGGACUGAGCUUCAGCCUGCAGGACAUCGGCACCAAGUCACCAGCCCUUCCAGCGAGCGUAGCAUCCGUGGGGCCAUCCAUACAGACCUCAGCUGGGAAGACACCAGCACCUAUCCAGAGUCUGAGUGCCAUAACCACGGGCACCGGGACAAUCGUCCGCACCAUUCCAGUCGCCACAUCCUUGUCGUCUCUUGGAGCCUCGGGGAGCGGGAAGCCCACAGCUAUUCACCAGUUGCUGACCAAUGGCGGGCUGGCCAAGCUGGCCAGCAGCCUUCCUGGCUUGGCUCAGAUCUCCAAUCAAGCGGCAGGCUUGAAGGCUCCGACCACCAUUACAGUGACCCUACGGGGGCAGCCUAACCGUGUCACUACCCUGAGCCAAGCGGCUGUGGGGACUAUCCAGCCUCAGCUGGAGGAGCAGCAGCUGCAAACUCAGACACCUCAGGUCUUGCUCCAUCUCUGGGUCCCAACUGCACCUGAGGUGAAUGUGACGGGUUCCCCCCAGGGUUCCCCCUGGAAUGGGGAUACCACUGAGCCCCCUGACCCACCAGCCUGGGCUCCCUCUCACACUGCUGCUGUGACAAACUGCAAAGCCCUCCAGCCUCCGUACAGGCACUGCCUCAUCCUGAUAUUUCAUGAGAAGAUCCUGUUCUGAGUUAUCAGCAAACAUCAGUGGAGGUAAUGACAUUUUGCCAGGUGCCCCAGGAUCUCGGCACAAAAUAAACAUAAAACUCAGGAGUAAAGGUUCUCCUUUUUUGAAAGCCAUGUGGGCACAUUAGCUCCUCUAAAAGGGGCGGGAACAGUCAGGGUCCUCCGGCGUGACUAUAAAUCCAGGCAGCAGGUUUCUGACAGACCUCAUAGGGAACUGUCUCACCCCUGGAGCCAUUUCUUAGCGAACUCCAGCUCCGUCUGUAGGACACUGAAAAGCCAAGAUGAAGACCCUGCUCUGUCUGACCAUGGUCUGUGCCAGCCUGGCUCUCUGCCGUAGGGUCGGCUUUCUGAUGAACAACGAGCAGAUAAAAGAGGGUAAAGUUAUAAUUAUUACUUCAGGCAAAUGUUUAUUUGGCACAAGUGGCAGACUCUGAGCUAGUCCCAGACUAGCUGUGGGCCUUGCAGGCCUGGAGAGACGUGCCUUGCUGGAGCUGGGGGUGAGGCGCUCAGUGAGAUGGCAGGUCAGGACUCAGAUGCAGCAUUUGUUUGUACCAAAUGUCUGGCUCUAGCCAGUGUUAUCAGUCCUUCACUGUCCUGUGUCUUUGUCUUUCCAUGCUCUUCCAUGUACGCAUGCCCACCUGUACACACUCACAGCCACUCUGCAGAGCAGGUCUCUGUUCUGAGCCACCCCUACGAGAAAGAGCCCAGGAACCAAGGAAUUUCUACUUUCACAAGUCCAUUUACUAUAUAGUCCUCAGAUAGAGGAUGUAUCAGACAUUAAACGGAUAAGAACAGAUUUAAAAAUUUUAUUAAGAUGAUGCUAAAAUAAAAAAAAACGGUACAGAGUUUAAGCAUAGAAGUUUCUGGUUAUCAAGGAAUAAGGUACAGAUUAUCAAGGGGUGCGAAGUUCGAUUUAGGAUCGGGUGGCAUAAGGAAUACAUAAUCUGCAAUCUCCCUGAUUUGGGGUAAAAGUUUAACCGGUCAAAGUACAGACAUUGAGAUAUGGGGGUAUGUUGUUCAUAUAAUGACUAUGUUCAGGUGUGGAGUAUAAUUACACUUGAUCUUAGCCAAAAGGCCGAGGUGAACUUCGUUCUCCUCACAGCUGAGAUCUGGCCAUUACAGACUACAGGUGGCUCUCCAUUACAAAGUAACCUUCAGAAAUAAACCAAAUCCAAUUUAUGAAACUCAUUACCCUUCUCUUGAGGCCACUCCUCCCAGCAAGUCCCUGGCAGCGUGUGCAGGGUGAGAACACGGCACUUUGACAGCGCUGCUGCCAGGCUCAUACAAAGGCAUUUGAUCAGCAAUCUGCUGGGGCUUAUUAAAGAGACUGUCAAAAGGCAGAAAUGGAUCAUGGGCUGCUGCAGUUCUGGAAAGCCUUUGCAGGAAGGUGAAGCCACACUCCUGAGCGUUUCACUGAGCAAAGCAUGUUAAUUAGCGAAGUAAUUAUGUUACAGGACCCUGUACCAAAUAGGCUUGGCAUUUACCCCCCUGCCAAAUGUACAGCAUAGACCUUAAGCAGACCUGCGCAAAUAAUGGAUUUGUCAGUUUCUGGCAGUGCAGAAAACUUUUUUAAAACAUGGUUUCAGGUCAAAUAAAAAAUGAAAUGUUUGAUUAAUUGAAAAGUUAAAGAAUACAAAAACAAAAACCCAACUCAGUUUUGGGUUGAACAAAAUGUUUCGUUUCUGUUUUGAAUGUUUUUUAAAGUUUGACUUUUUUAGAAUUAUUUUUCUUUGUUUUAUUCAUCAUGAUACAAUUCGGUGAAACCGACAUGAACACAUGACAUGUUUUGGUGCCACCUCGUCCGCCUUUUUCACCUGGUGCUCAUCCUAAUGCACCAAGGGUGGGUAAUUACGAUGGGUGGGUGAAAUGGGUUAGUUAAAAACGCAAGACACUUGAGUAGUAAGUAGCACUUGGCGCAUUCCCAGCACCUUCCAUAUGAGGCUCUAACUCACCCUGCAAAGAAGGCCAGCACGAGACCUGUGAGCCAUCUAAGGGUCAGACUGAAUUUCAAAGGAGUCUGCAGGAGGUAGCCACUCAAGUCCCAUUGAAUUUCAGUCCAGCCUAGGUCUUUCAGGACUUACUUGGGGUCGGUGGUGCACAGACCUGGUGCUAGCUCUCCACGUAGGAGUGAGUUUCACUCCUUAAUGAGUUAAGACUCAACAGCAUCCCAGUGAGGGAGGAACCUUUCCCGAAAACUGAAUCGAAACUUUAGGUUGGGGGUGAAAAUACCGGGUGAACUUUGAGUUUGUUCACUCGUUUUCCGGCCUCAUCCCACCUGCCCAAACUGCUGAAACACUGCCCGAAGCGCCAGAGCAGGGAGCUCUGAAAUUCCCCAGAGCUUGGUCUGGAGAUCCUGCCUGAUGUCCAUCCAAAUAGGGCUUCAUGGCGUGCAGGUCCCCAUCAGCACGUCUGGAUCCUGUUCCAACCUGAGUGGAGCUAGUUCACCUCAGUCUGGGACAGUUCCUCAGAUUUGUCACCCCAAAAGAAUGGCUCAGCUUUGGGAAUCUCCCCCACAUCCUCUGCAGUGAAGACCGAUGCAAAGAAUUUACGCUUCUCUGCAAUGGCCGUAUCUUUCUUGAGUGUGCCUUUAGGACCUCAAUCAACCAUGGCCCCACGGAUUGUUUGUCAGGCUUCCUACUUCUAAUGUUCUUACAUUGUUUUGAGAUUCUUUUUUGCGUGCUUCGUUUAGUGGGGCUGAUGUAAUUGCUCAAACGCCUUGCUUGGGAUGAUUUUCAAUCUUCUUACCCCACUGGCUACAAUUAGAGGUGUCAACGUGCUGGUUAAAGGCUUCUGCUGAUUGUCCUCAGUUUCAGAGACCUGUAUUUAUAACCUUAAUUGAUGCUUAAAUAAAUGGAUACUUUUAAAUGGAACAGCCACUUAAUCAAGCCAAAUAUGAAUCCAUUGCAGAGUCCUGACUAAGAAGUUUCUACUCUGGACACAAAGCCUCUGACUGUACAAAGACUUGGUUUGAGAUCUAUCUCUGUGCUGCCCUUUUCAUCCCAGCCGUACCCUUGGGUUGGGAAGUGUGGACGCACAGGGGAUUCUUGGGGUCUCAAGAGCUCCUGAGCUGUAUCCAGGCAGUUGAAUAUUUCAAGUGGAUUUGCAAUGUUAAUAAUUGCUUUGUUCAAUGACUGUUCUUUGGCUAAAGCAUUUCUUCCAGCAAGAUAACUAGGUCCGAGUUGAAGACAUCAAGAUAUAGCUUUGCAUUUAGCUGCAUUAAAACGUAUUUUGGUUACCAA